GGUCCGGGCGUUAUCCGGAUUUAUUGGGUUUAAAGGGAGCGUAGGCCGGAGAUUAAGCGUGUUGUGAAAGUUUGCGGCUCAACCGUAAAAUUGCAGUUGAUACUGGUUUCCUUGAGUGCGGUUGAGGUGUGCGGAAUUCGUGGUGUAGCGGUGAAAUGCUUAGAUAUCACGAAGAACCCCGAUUGCGAAGGCAGCACACUAAGCCGUAACUGACGUUCAUGCUCGAAAGUGUGGGUAU
rnacentral:rRNA from 1 species